AAUGAACGUUGGCGGCGUGGAUUAGGCAUGCAAGUCGAGCGAGAAUCCCGGCUUGCCGGGAGGACAGCGGCGCAAGGGACAGUAAUGUGUAGAUUAUCUGCCCUCAGGUCCGGGAUAGCUGCGGGAAACUGCAGGUAAUACCGGAUAACAUCUCCGGAUCAAAGGUGUGAUUCCGCCUGAGGAUGAGUCUACAUCCUAUUAGCUUGUUGGCAGGGUAACGGCCUACCAAGGCUUUGAUGGGUAGCGGGUGUGAGAGCACGACCCGCGUCAUUGGGACUGAGACACUGCCCAGACACCUACGGGUGGCUGCAGUCGAGAAUCUUCGGCAAUGGGCGCAAGCCUGACCGAGCGACGCCGCGUGCGGGAUGAAGGCCUUCGGGUUGUAAACCGCUGUCAGAGGGGAUGAAAUGCAGGUGGGUUCUCCCAUCUGUUUGACAUAGCCUCAGAGGAAGGACGGGCUAAGUUCAUGCCAGCAGCCGCGGUAAGACGAACCGUCCAAACGUUAUUCGGAAUCACUGGGCUUAAAGGGUGCGUAGGCGGCGCGGAAAGUUGGGUGUGAAAUCCCUCGGCUCAACCGAGGAAUUGCGCCCAAUACUU
rnacentral:rRNA from 1 species